GGUAAUGUGGCAAUAUACCAUCAUCACUCAUCUACUCCACUCAAGCGCAAUCGCAAUCAACAAGAAUCAAGCAUGCAAUCAAUAAUAGAUUCACAAGGGAAGCUUUCGUGGCCGGAAUUGGUGGGGAAAGAAUGCCAAAGAGGCGACGACGGUGAUAGACCGGAAUUGGUGGGGAAAGAAUGCCAAAGAGGCGACGACGGUGAUAGAGACUGAGAAUAAGUUUGUGGAUGUAGUCAUUAUAAAUGUAAGUGCAGGAACUCCCAUUCCACCUGGUUUCAACUGCACCCGCGUCAUGGUUUUUGUCAAUCUUUUUGGAAAUGUCAUCCACAUUCCCACCGUCGGUUAAACGACGUAUUAUAAUUACUUUUCGACGUUCAUCUUUAUAUUUCCUUUUUGUUUUGUCCAAUAAAGUGAUGGAUCUCAUGGCUAAUCAUCGAUGUUCCUUAUGUUAAUGCUAUAAGUGCACAAUAAAUAAAUUGUAUCUUGUCUCA